CCUUUGAGCGCUGGUUUGUCCUAGGACAAUCGGAUUUCACCGGCAGAUUUUGAAGAAGAAAACUCUAGAGCAGAAAAGAAGAGGGAGCCUGCAGCAGAGACGGGGGUCAUGUGUGGGGAAUGAUCACUUCAGCCACUGUGAAGUCAGGUAGGCUGAGCGAUGUGCAGCCAGGCACAGGAUGUACGCAUGAGAAACAUCUUCCCUAAGUUCACUUGUCCUCUUGGGCCAAGGAUGCUGAUGUUCCACAUGUCUAUGGAGCUUGCCUUUUACCCUCAGAGCCAGAGACCAUUUUUAAGGAUGACGCAUAUUUGGCUAUAUAGGUCAAGAAUUCAACACUAUAGGAAUCCCAGCUACUCUGGAGGCCGAGGCAGGAGAAUCGCUUGAACCCGGGAGGUGGAGGUUGCAAUGAGCUGAGAUCGCACCACUGCACUGCAGCCUGAGAGACACAGCAAGACUCCAUCUCAAAAAAUAAAUAGAUAAAUGAAACAAAGCUACCAACUUUUGGAAAGGAGAUUUUGUCUGAUACUUAGUUUUAUUUCUUCACUUAAGGUAAUAAAACUGUUUUGAAAUUGUUCAUUCCACUGGGAUGGGACAAGGGAGAAAUAAAGAAAGCAAUGCAACUGUGGAAAUUUCCCUCAAGAAGAUGAACAAAGCAUCCAUGGGAAUGGUGACUUGCUCUAGCGAGGUCUUUGGGUUAUGCCCUUUCUUUGCUAUUAUCAAAAUCUAUCUAUUUCACUUCACUAGUUGCCAAAAAAAAAAAUGGGGGAAGGAAAUAAGAGGCCACAAAAAAUGAAAAAUUGUAGAUGAAAUAUACAUACAUGUAAAAUCUCAUUGGAUGAAACAUACAUAAAUAGUGGGAAACGUCAUUUUAAUUACUACCUUGUGAAUACAAAAGUAUUUGACUCAAUACUAAUGAUCUUGAUACUGGCACUGAACCAUAACUAAUGUCAAAAAAUUGCAAAAAUUCAAAGAAGAACAUCACCCAUAAUAUCAAUGUGUCCUAACAUCAAGGUCAUUCUCUAAUAAUGAGGAUUUUAUCCACUUACAUAAUUUAUGUGUAAAUGAAGAAUAUGGAUGCUUUAUGUUUCUGAAGGAAAGAAACUUCUACCAAUUCCAAGUUUCUGAUCCCAGGCAAUGCUUUUAUUAAUAUAAUUCCAAAUGAUAUCAUAUUUCUGAAAAAAUCUCUUGAGAGUGACUUGAGAGCUGCACCACUCUGUCUAAGAAUAGCCAAUUACUCUUUUU
rnacentral:lncRNA from 10 species